GGGGUCGGGAUUGAAAAAUUUGAUAAUCAAAUAAGUUGAAGGUUGUUUGUUUUGAUUCAUUAUUGACUAUUGUCGAAUUGGAUAGUAUCAUAAUAGGUCAUGUGGGUAGGCAAUCGUAGGGUCGGGUAGGCAAAAUUUAGAAAUAAGUGUUUCGUUGGAUGUUCGAAUGUGGAGUAUGUGUUGAAUGUUUUCUACUUUAUCACAUUCGACGCAAAUGUAUUCAUUUAGCCGGGGAAUGCCCCGAGGACUUUUGUACUUAUUCACCGGGGAAUGCCCCGACGUAUCAUGUUGGCGGAAAAUGAUCGUGAUGAAGGCCCGCGG
rnacentral:lncRNA from 1 species